UACUAGAGUAGCACUCGCAUAUCAAUAAGCGGAGGAAAAGAAACUAACAAGGAUUCCCCUAGUAACGGCGAGUGAAGCGGGAAGAGCUCAAAUUUGAAAUCUUAAAGGGUUUCCCUUUACGAAUUGUAGUUUAAAGAAGUGUUUUCUGUUGAGGUUUUGGUAAAAGUUCUUUGGAAUAGGACAUCAUAGAGGGUGAGAAUCCCGUAUUUGACCUUUACUUUCAACUUUGUGAUACACUUUCAAAGAGUCGGAUUGUUUGGGAAUGCAGUCCAAAAUGGGUGGUAAAUUUCAUCUAAAGCUAAAUAUUGGCGAGAGACCGAUAGCGAACAAGUACCGUGAGGGAAAGAUGAAAAGAACUUUGAAAAGAGAGUUAAACAGUACGUGAAAUUGUCAAAAGGGAAGCGUUUGACACCAGUGUUGUUUUUCUGAAAAUCAAUUAAAGAACUGUUUAUGCUAAGUUGUUUAGACUUUAUCAGCUAUCUGUUUAGUUUUAGGCUUUUCUUUAAUGCACUUUUCAGUUAACAAGUCAACAUCAAUUUCUUUUGCUGUAAAAAAGCUUGAGGAAGGUGGCUUGAGAUUCGUCUUAAGUGUUUAUAGCCUCUUGCCUAUGCAGUCGGAGAGAUUGAGGUCUGCAGCGUAGAUCCUUCGGGGCUAAAUGCAUUUGUGCUAAGUUAUAGCAUUUUAUAGACAACUUGUUGACUAUGAUUUGUCUUGUAGCUUACUCGCUUAUGUUAUUUUACCUACGCUUAGGAUGUUGAGUAAGCGACAUACGCAC
rnacentral:rRNA from 1 species